ACGCUGGCGGCGUGCUAAUACAUGCAAGUCGAGCGAACAGAUGAGGAGCUUGCUCCUCUGACGUUAGCGGCGGACGGGUGAGUAACACGUGGAUAACCUACCUAUAAGACUGGGAUAACUACGGGAAACCGGAGCUAAUACCGGAUAAUAUAUUGAACCGCAUGGUUCAAUAGUGAAAGACGGUUUUGCUGUCACUUAUAGAUGGAUCCGCGCCGCAUUAGCUAGUUGGUAAGGUAACGGCCUACCAAGGCAACGAUGCGUAGCCGACCUGAGAGGGUGAUCGGCCACACUGGAACUGAGACACGGUCCAGACUCCUACGGGAGGCAGCAGUAGGGAAUCUUCCGCAAUGGGCGAAAGCCUGACGGAGCAACGCCGCGUGAGUGAUGAAGGUCUUCGGAUCGUAAAACUCUGUUAUUAGGGAAGAACAAAUGUGUAAGUAACUAUGCACGUCUUGACGGUACCUAAUCAGAAAGCCACGGCUAACUACGUGCCAGCAGCCGCGGUAAUACGUAGGUGGCAAGCGUUAUCCGGAAUUAUUGGGCGUAAAGCGCGCGUAGGCGGUUUUUUAAGUCUGAUGUGAAAGCCCACGGCUCAACCGUGGAGGGUCAUUGGAAACUGGAAAACUUGAGUGCAGAAGAGGAAAGUGGAAUUCCAUGUGUAGCGGUGAAAUGCGCAGAGAUAUGGAGGAACACCAGUGGCGAAGGCGACUUUCUGGUCUGUAACUGACGCUGAUGUGCGAAAGCGUGGGGAUCAAACAGGAUUAGAUACCCUGGUAGUCCACGCCGUAAACGAUGAGUGCUAAGUGUUAGGGGGUUUCCGCCCCUUAGUGCUGCAGCUAACGCAUUAAGCACUCCGCCUGGGGAGUACGACCGCAAGGUU
rnacentral:rRNA from 1 species